rnacentral:rRNA from 1 species
AUUGAACGCUGGCGGCAGGCCUAACACAUGCAAGUCGAGCGGAUGAAGGGAGCUUGCUCCUGGAUUCAGCGGCGGACGGGUGAGUAAUGCCUAGGAAUCUGCCUGGUAGUGGGGGAUAACGUCCUGAAACGGGCGCUAAUACCGCAUACGUCCUGAGGGAGAAAGUGGGGGAUCUUCGGACCUCACGCUAUCAGAUGAGCCUAGGUCGGAUUAGCUAGUUGGUGGGGUAAAGGCCUACCAAGGCGACGAUCCGUAACUGGUCUGAGAGGAUGAUCAGUCACACUGGAACUGAGACACGGUCCAGACUCCUACGGGAGGCAGCAGUGGAGAAUAUUAGACAAUGGGCGAGAGCCUGAUCCAGCCAUGCCGCGUGUGUGAAGGAGGUCUUCGGAUUGUAAAGCACUUUAAGUUGGGAGGAAGGGCAGUAAGUUAAUACCUUGCUGUUUUGACGUUACCAACAGAAUAAGCACCGGCUAACUUCGUG